UGCUGGCUGGGUUCGAGGCUGUCACUACGGCUGCAAUACAGAAACUAACCAGGUGCUUUCUCCUACAGGUGGAGGUUCUAGAUGGCAGGACCAGGCAACAGCUGUGUUUUCUAGAUAAGGUGGAGCCCCACGUUACAAUAGGAGACAUCAAGAGACUUUUUCACAAGUCAUAUCAACAGUUGUAUCCAGCCAGACAGGACCUCAAGCUCGACCCCAAAGGAAAAUCACUUAAGGACGAUGAUGUAUUACAAAACCUACCAGUUGGGACCACAACAACCAUGUAUUUUAGGGACCUGGGUCCACAGAUCGGGUGGACAAUGGUGUUUUGGCGGAGUACAUUGGCCCCCUGUUUAUCUACCUUCUGUUCUAUUUCCGAGUUCCCUAUAUCUACUCACAGCAGGAUGCCUUCACCUCCAGCUCCAACUCAGUGGUCACACUAGCCUGUGCCUGUCACACCUGCCACUACAUCAAGAGAUUGAUUGAGACCGUCUUUGUGCACCGGUUCUCCCAUGGCACCGUGCCUCUCAGGACUACAGUCAGGAGCUGUGUGUAUUACUGGACCUUCUCUGCGUGGUUGGCCUUCUACAUCAACCAUCCGCUGUACACGCCUCCAUCGUAUGGGGACAUGCAGGUGAACUACGCACUGGCUAUAUUUGUGCUUUGUGAGGCUGGUAAUUUCUCCAUUCACGUGGCCCUCAAUAACCUCAAGGCAGAAGGUGGGCCCAAGUGCAGAAAGUUCCCUCGCCCGACGAAGAACCCAUUCACAUGGCUCUUCUUCCUCGUGUCUUGCCCCAAUUAUACCUACGAGGUAGGAGCCUGGGCAAGUUUCUCUGUCAUGACCCAGUGUCUUCCAGUGGCCUUGUUCACCUUCUUUGGUUUGAUCCAGAUGACCAUCUGGGCCAAUGGGAAGCAUAAAGCCUACACCAGGGAGUUUAAGGACUACCCACACCUGCGCAUGCCAAUUAUCCCACUCCUCCUCUGACCACACGAGAAAACGUUUACCAUUCUGCCUGGGGAGUAUUAGAGGCAUCAACCUGCCCGGAAACGCUUUUGGAGAUUGGUGGGUUAAUGUAUAUCUCACAAAGCACGAAGACCCCAUUGGCUGUUCCUUCAUCUAGCGUCAUGGCAAUGAUCUGUGAUCUUUUCAACAACUAUCAAGGACAGAAUUCACAGAAAGUGUUGUGUCAUCACUGUUGUGGAUUGUGUAUUGAUUAUGUUCAAUUCAAUCUUUGAGACGCAGCUAUAUUGAUAGUUAUUUAAUUGAUUUAUUUAACCGAUCAGGAUGAUUGAUUGACUGUUACAAUGCAGCUACUGAAGGAUCAGGUGCUGUUGGUAUUCUUCGUCUUCAGACGGUGGAAAUCACCCUAAAUUAUUAAGUUAUGAAUAAUACGAUUGGAGUUACAGUCUUUAUAAUCUACCAUAUUAUUUUGUAAUAAGUUAUUGUGCAUUUCCUAGAAGAAAAGAGUUUGUAACUUGCUACGAUAUACCCGUUUAGGAAGUCCUCUUGUAACAACAUUUGUUAUGGCUGAAGUGUAUCAGGGCUAUUUUCAGUUUACAGAGUAAGUAGAGAAGGGAAAUGGAAUCGUUUAACUAAGAAGUGAUCUAGAAGCAAUGAAGAAAUGGAAUCGUUUAACUAAGAAGUGAUCUAGAAGCAAUGAAGAAAUGGAAUCGUUUAACUAAGAAGUGAUCUAGAAGCAACGAAGAAAUGGAAUCGUUUAACUAAGAAGUGAUCUAGAAGCAAUGAAGAAAUGGAAUCGUUUAACUAAGAAGUGAUCUAGAAGCAAUGAAGAAAUGGAAUCGUUUAACUAAGAAGUGAUCUAGAAGCAAUGAAGAAAUGGAAUCGUUUAACUAAGAAGUGAUCUAGAAGCAACGAAGAAAUGGAACUUUAGCAGAUGUUCUAAAUUAGAUUAUUUUCCACCUCUACAUAUGUUUGAAAGUAACAAAACGACCUGAUGAUUUUAACUUUGGGAGAAAGUUGAGGCUGAUUUAGUUAUGCAUUACUUAUCUAUCGUUCAAACUAACUACAAUCCGUCCAGUUCUCAGGUGUUACUAGAUGUAAGGGGCACUGUUGCAUCCUGUACAAAUUCUAGACAAACUAAAUUAUAGACAAACUAAUUUUUUCGACAAACUUGUUUUGUAUACAAAGUGUACAUAUGAAAUAAAUAAUUGUGAUCAUUUAAAAAGACAAGUAUUUUAUCUUAAAGAACAGUCGUGCAUAUUUCUCAAAUAAUCAAUCAUUGUUACAGAAAAUAUUUAGUUGAAAUUACUAUCUCAGACAAUUCAAUAAUCUCUCGUUUGCAAACAAAUCAGUUAUCAGGCAAAUGAAUAAAACUGCAAAAUAGUAUGCAGAGAAUAAAGCUUCAUGUUUAAACAGUACACAUAGGCUUAAAAAAUUGCAUCAUCAUUUAAAUAUGAUAUAUAUCAUAUAUCAAUAGCAACAAUUUGUAUUUUUAUUGUACCUUUAUUUAACUAGGCAAGGCAGUUAAGAACACAUUUUUAUUUUCAAUGACGGCCUAGGAACAGUGGGUUAACUGCCUGUUCAGGGGCAGAACGACAGAUUUGUACCUUGUCAGCUCGGGGGUUUGAACUUGCAACUGGCUGACCGGUUCCGGUGUGAUCGUCGGUGCCAGGCUGACUGGUUCCGGUGUGAUCGUCGGUGCCAGGCUGACUGGUUCCGGUGUGAUCGUCGGUGCCAGGCUGACCGGUUCCGUUGUGAUCGUCGGUGCCAGGCUGACCGGUUCCGGUGUGAUCGUCGGUGCCAGGCUGACCGGUUCCGGUGUGAUCGUCGGUGCCAGGCUGACCGGUUCCGGUGUGAUCGUCGGUGCCAGGCUGACCGGUUCCAGGACCUCAGAAACGUCCGGCCUCCUUGGCUUUUGACACAUGACAGUGUUUAGGGCAGGAGUACUCAACCCUACGAGAUCCGGAGCCUGCUGGUUUUCUGUUCUACCUGGUAAUGAAUUGUCCCCAGGUCUAAAUCAGUCCCUGAUUAGAGAGGGAACAAUGACACAAUGCAGUGGAACUGAUGUCCCAGGUCUAAAUCAGUCCCUGAUUAGAGAGGGAACAAUGAAACAAUGCAGUAGAACUGAUGUCCCAGGUCUAAAUCAGUCCCCAAUUAGAGAGGGAACAAUGAAACAAUGCAGUAGAACUGGUGUCCCAGGUCUAAAUCAGUCCCUGAUUAGAGAGGGAACAAUGACACAAUGCAGUAGAACUGAUGUCCCAGGUCUAAAUCAGUCCCUGAUUAGAGAGGGAACAAUGAAACAAUGCAGUAGAACUGAUGUCCCAGGUCUAAAUCAGUCCCUGAUUAGAGAGGGAACAAUGAAACAAUGCAGUAGAACUGGUGUCCCAGGUCUAAAUCAGUCCCUGAUUAGAGAGGGAACAAUGAAACAAUGCAGUAGAACUGGUGUCCCAGGUCUAAAUCAGUCCCUGAUUAGAGAGGGAACAAUGAAACAAUGCAGUAGAACUGGUGUCCCAGGUCUAAAUCAGUCCCUGAUUAGAGAGGGAACAAUGACACAAUGCAGUGGAACUGGUUUCCAGAUCCAGAGUUGAGUUUGAGGGGUGUAGAGUUUACUUGGAAAUGGUGUGCGACAAACAAAACACAUCCAGUCAGGGGUACUGCUCUGUUUCAGCUGUCGUGGGCAGUCUAGCUGUUUGGAAAAGCAGGUACUGCUCUGUUUCAGCUGUCGUGGGCAGCCUAGCUGUUUGGAGAACGAGGUACUGCUCUGUUUCAGCUGUCGUGGGCAGUCUAGCUGUUUGGAGAACGAGGUACUGCUCUGUUUCAGCUGUCGUGGGCAGUCUAGCUGUUUGGAGAACGAGGUACUGCUCUGUUUCAGCUGUCGUGGGCAGCCUAGCUGUUUGUAAAAGCAGGUACUGCUCUGUUUCACCAGAGAAUAAACACCUUAUGUUCUUCACAGAAUUAAGAGCGAAAAUGUACGCUUGUUCAGCUUUGACCCUUUGAAAUGACACUGAUACACAGCUGACAUGUAAGAAUGUGGGUGAGGCAGGAGUCAAUUUGCUAAGGAGACAGAAUACAACAGCUUCAAUUCUGGCUGUAUUUACUGUGCAUAAUACUAGAUGACACUAUUAGGAAUUAAGUGGGUAUUUGUUAAUAAUGGAAGGAUAAUCAGAUACUUAACCACAUGCUCUUCACGGUGCAAAUGUCCCCCUUCUGAAUUGCUUAUAGUUUAUUCAUAUUUAUUUGUAUUGUUUCUUUAAGUUUAUAGAGUUCUGAGGUGUUUGUCAAUAAACAUAAAUCA